UAAGUAAAUAGUUUGCCAAAGUAUAAGAUCUCUUGGUAAAAAGGGAAAAAAUAUUAAAAAAGUAAAAUGUAAGCUGACUUAUAAAUAAUACAGAUCCCCAAGUAGUAGAAACUGUGGGAAAUUCCUCAAGGGGCUGCCUAAUCAUUUUUCUCCCCCCCCCCCCCCCCCCCAUUUCAUUGAAAUAAUAUUAAAUCCCAGCAAGCAAUAUACAUAAUGCCAUUUUAUUUCAUAUAAAAGCAAUCUGUGUCAAAAUGCCAAUUAUUAUAUAUAAGGUAUUGUUUUAAAAGUAUUGACAUGAUUGACAGUUAUACUAGCAAAACUUGAUAAGUACAGAAAAUUUAAGUGCAAAAAUGAUGCACUUUAAUCAUCUAUCACAGUAUUUACUCACAACAAGAAAACUGUAAAGACAUACUGUUAUUCAAGGUCAAGUCGAUGUACUCGGAAACUUUUAAAACAUUUCUAGUUUUAGAUACUGUAAUAGUCAGAAAUUAUUGUGAGGUUUUUAUUAAUGCAAAUAAUGCUACUGAAUGAGUGUCGCAAUAAUAAGAUCUCGUAUUCUGAUAUCUGAUACAUAUAUUUGUAUGCAGAUUUUCCUGAAAAUUGCAAUAAUAAAUGUACACAAUAAUUUUUGAAUUUACAUUACUUAAAACUACAUAAAAUAAAAUAUAGAUUAUUAUCAACCCAUUUCAUACUGGCCAUACAAUUAAUAUUCUAAUGAACAGAUACAUAUUUAUAAUGGUAUACAUAAUUAUUAUUUAUAGAUGUCCUGGUAAACCCAUCACAUCAAAGCUAUAUUUUCUUAAGUAAUUAGAAUAUCUGAUGAAGUAUAAAGUAACCUAAACUUGACCUUUGCACCAAUAAUAUUUGUAGUGACUAUUUGUAAAAUUCUUACUUAGCACUUUUAGAGAGAGAAAGAAGACACUGUGAAAUGAAGAAAACACAUAUACACAUGAUUAUUUUAUGUAUAUUUCUCCGUAAAACUGUAUGUCUACACAAAAUUAACUCAUAAAACUUCAGUAUUGUAUAACAAAUAAUGUUUAAAUGAUUUAAUAAUUUCAUAUAAUAUAGAGUAUAUAAUGUGUUACCAAUAUAGUACAUUAAGUUCAAAAAUGUUGAGAAUUCUUUGUAUACUGUAACCCUGAUUCUUUGAGUAUGCUAUGUUAUUUCUUUCUUUUGCCUUGACUAAAUAGCUAAAAUAACUUUAAUUACAAUAUUUAAAUGUUCCCAAUAUACCUAAAUUUCCAAACCUGAAACAUUUACUAAUUAACAUUUAACUAUUGUUAUCAAGUUUAACAUAAAAUGAUUAUUUUACAAUAAUGAAUGGUAUUUGAAACAAAUAUCUUUAAAUAUACACACUUCGCUUACAGAGACUAAGUCAUUGGAAAUGGUGCUAGGAAAAAAAAUGCCAUUUAGGUGAAACAAAAACAUUGUGUGGUCUAAUCACAGCCAGGUAUCAAACAAAGCAUAUGCUAUAAACAAGUACAACCUGACAGAGGACAGGAGUAUUUGGUAAAUGUCUGUGCUUCACCUGUGUUCUUCAAUGAUUAUUUCUAUUGGAAAUAAAGAACAAAUAAGUGAGAAGUACAUGUGAUAAAAACAACUUUAUAGAAUUUUAAGCAGUUGCUGAACCAUGAAAAUGAGGUCAAAACAAUGGCCAUAUGACAGGCUCUUCAUGUGUGUUGUUCAAUCAUUAUCUAUAUCGGAAAUAAAAACAAAAAACAAAUAG